rnacentral:misc_RNA from 1 species
GCUACUACCGAUUGAAUGGUUUAGUGAGAUUUUCGGACUGAGAAGUAUUAAUAUUGGCAACAGUAUAUAUUUCUUGGGAAGUUGAUCAAACUUGAUCAUUUAGAGGAAGUAAAAGUCGUAACAAGGUUUCCGUAGGUGAACCUGCAGAAGGCA